rnacentral:rRNA from 1 species
AGGAUAAACGCUGGCGGCGUGCCUAACACAUGCAAGUCGAACGCGCUUGCUAUCCGCGAGGACGGUGAGCGAGUGGCGGACGGGUGAGGAACACGUGGGUGACCUACCUUUCAGUGAGGGAUACCGGCGAGAAAUUGCCGACAAGACCGCAUACGCUUCUCUUUUCAAGGGGAGAAGGAAAGCUUUUCGCAAGAGAGGCGCUGGGAGAUGGGCCUGCGGCCGAUUAGCUAGCUGGUGGGGUAAUGGCCUACCAGGGCGACGAUCGGUAGCUGGUCUGAGAGGACGAUCAGCCACACUGGGAUUGAGAACGGCCCAGACUCCUACGGGGGGCAGCAGUGAGGAAUUUUCGGCAAUGGGGGCAACCCUGACCGAGCAACGCCGCGUGCAGGACGACGGCCUUCGGGUUGUAAACUGCUUUUCUCUGGGACGAGAGCGGACGGUACCAGAGGAAGAAGCCCGGCUAACUACGCGCCAGCAGCCGCGGU